rnacentral:rRNA from 1 species
AUUGAACGCUGGCGGCAGGCCUAACACAUGCAAGUCGAGCGAGCGGCGGACGGGUGAGUAAUGUAUGGGGACUGCCCGAUCGAGGGGGAUAACUACUGGAAACGGUGGCUAAUACCGCAUACUAACGGAUAACCCAUAUGGGAUUAGCUAGUAGGUGGGGUAAAGGCUCACCUAGGCGACGAUCUCUAGCUGGUCUGAGAGGAUGAUCAGCCCCACUGGAACUGAGCCUCGGCCCAGCGUCCGACGGGGGCAGCAGUGGUGAAUAUUGCACAAUGGGCGCAAGCCUGAUGCAGCCAUGCAGCGUGUAUGAAGAAGGCCUUAGGGAUGUAAAGUCCUUUCAGCGGGAAGGCGUUACCCGCAGAAGAAGCACCGGCUGACUCCGUGCCAGCAGCCGCGGAAAUAC